GGGGUGCUCGAGUGGCGAACGGGUGAGUAACACGUGAGUAACCUGCCCUUGACUUUGGGAUAACUUCAGGAAACUGGGGCUAAUACCGGAUAGGAGCUCCUGCUGCAUGGUGGGGGUUGGAAAGUUUCGGCGGUUGGGGAUGGACUCGCGGCUUAUCAGCUUGUUGGUGGGGUAGUGGCUUACCAAGGCUUUGACGGGUAGCCGGCCUGAGAGGGUGACCGGCCACAUUGGGACUGAGAUACGGCCCAGACUCCUACGGGAGGCAGCAGUGGGGAAUAUUGCACAAUGGGCGGAAGCCUGAUGCAGCAACGCCGCGUGCGGGAUGACGGCC
rnacentral:rRNA from 1 species